AACGAACGCUGGCGGCAUGCCUAACACAUGCAAGUCGAACGAGGCCCUUCGGGGUUUAGUGGCGCACGGGUGCGUAACGCGUGGGAAUCUGCCCUUUGGUUCGGAAUAACAGCUGGAAACGGCUGCUAAUACCGGAUGAUGACGAAAGUCCAAAGAUUUAUCGCCAGAGGAUGAGCCCGCGUUGGAUUAGGUAGUUGGUGGGGUAAAGGCCUACCAAGCCGACGAUCCAUAGCUGGUCUGAGAGGAUGAUCAGCCACACUGGGACUGAGACACGGCCCAGACUCCUACGUUAUGCAGCAGUGGGGAAUAUUGGACAAUGGGCGCAAGCCUGAUCCAGCAAUGCCGCGUGAGUGAUGAAGGCCCUAGGGUUGUAAAGCUCUUUUACCCGGGAAGAUAAUGACUGUACCGGGAGAAUAAGCCCCGGCUAACUCCGUG
rnacentral:rRNA from 1 species